rnacentral:rRNA from 1 species
GAUGAACGCUAGCGGCAGGCCUAAUACAUGCAAGCCGAACGGCAAGUCUGAUAGCAAUAUUAGACCUAGAGUGGCGUAAGGGUGCGUAACACGUAUGCAAUCUACCCGCAACAGGAGGAUAGCUCGGGGAAACUCGAAUUAACCCUCCAUAAGAUCUUAGACCGGCAUCGGUUAGAGAUUAAAUCUGAGGAGGUUGCGGAUAAGCAUGCGUCUGAUUAGCUAGUUGGCGGGUAAUGGCCCACCAAGGCGAUGAUCAGUAGGGGAACUGAGAGGUUGAUCCCCCACACUGGCACUGAGAUACGGGCCAGACUCCUACGGGAGGCAGCAGUAGGGAAUAUUGGACAAUGGGUGGAAGCCUGAUCCAGCCAUGCCGCGUGCAGGAAGAAGGCCUUCUGGGUUGUAAACUGCUUUUAUCUGGGGAUAAAAAGGCCUUGCGAGGCAAACUGAAGGUACCAGAUGAAUAAGCCACGGCUAACUACGUGCCAGCAGCCG